GACAGAUGCCAGCUGUCAGUGCCUUCAGGAUCUGCUCAGGUGUGGAGAACUGCCUUCUCAGCAGGUUGGGACCAUUAGCAGGAAUGAAAGAAAUAUCCUAGACAAAGGAAGAACUAUUCCAACGCCAGCCUCAAGCUGGAAUGUGUUCUAGUCGAUUCCCUUUUCUUGCUUAGCAAGCACUGAGCUUCCUGUUUCUGGUUUGGACCUGAAGUGGAGGUUCCCAAAUACCAACAGGAAGGUCAUACUUGUGGUCUCCCUCCCUUGCUGAAACCCUGCUGAAGCCUGAAGUGCUAGAAUUCCACGUGGGUGUCAUUUUCUCAAGAGACUUCCAGCUGCAGUUCCCAGACCAGAGGUUGAUGCUACUCUUACGCUCUAGUGCAGUGUGCCAAAACAUGACUGAAUAAAGUCUUUGACAGUAAAGGGAACUUUGGAUGCCUUCUUGUAUUCUACAGCAUGUGCUUAGUGUCUGGGACAUCAUAAAUGGUGAACGAAGGCAAUCAGCACAUGUCAAAGGAACACACGUGAAUCAGUUCUAAUGAAGUGGAUGAACCUAGAGCCUAUUAACAGAGUGGAGUAAGUCAGAAAGAGAAAAACAAAUA
rnacentral:lncRNA from 1 species